GACGAACGCUGGCGGCGUGCCUAAUACAUGCAAGUUGAGCGCUGAAGGUUGGUACUUGUACCAACUGGAUGAGCAGCGAACGGGUGAGUAACGCGUGGGGAAUCUGCCUUUGAGCGGGGGACAACAUUUGGAAACGAAUGCUAAUACCGCAUAAAAACUUUAAACACAAGUUUUAAGUUUGAAGGAUGCAAUUGCAUCACUCAAAGAUGAUCCCGCGUUGUAUUAGCUAGUUGGUGAGGUAAAGGCUCACCAAGGCGAUGAUACAUAGCCGACCUGAGAGGGUGAUCGGCCACAUUGGGACUGAGACACGGCCCAAACUCCUACGGGAGGCAGCAGUAGGGAAUCUUCGGCAAUGGACGAAAGUCUGACCGAGCAACGCCGCGGGAGUGAAGAAGGGUUUCGGAUCGUAAAACUCUGUUGGUAGAGAAGAACGUUGGUGAGAGUGGAAAGCUCAUCAAGUGACGGUAACUACCCAGAAAGGGACGGCUAACUACGUG
rnacentral:rRNA from 1 species